GGCCGCCUGGCGAAAUGGCAUCGCGUCUGACUACGAUUUCGUUUCUUCGAAUCGCCAUCAGGAGAUCGCAGGUUCGACCCCUGCGGUGGUCA